rnacentral:misc_RNA from 1 species
AGAACAUUACAACAUUGUCCAUGAAGGUGCAAAAAGCGAGGGUGAAUUUUCUAGGCUUGAAUACCAGGCCAGACCCCACAUUAGAGGUUCAUCAGCCAUUAGACAUUUUGUUGCAAAAUUGCCACCAAGAGCUCAUUCCAUUUAUUAUAGGGAUGAAAUUGGGAAUAUAUCAACAUCUCAUCUGUGGGCUGAUUCUAAAAAGACAGAGUUAUUGAUUGAACCUAGAUAUCCAAUGUUUGGAGGUUGGAGAACAGCUUUUAUCAUUGGAUAUAGUUUGCCACUUCAGGACUUCUUGUUUGAGUUAGAGGGGAAACGUUUCCUAAACAUCUCUUUCUCUUCCCCUAUUAAUGAUUUGGUCAUUGAUAAUCUUGUUGUGAAGGUUGUUUUGCCUGAGGGGUCCAGAGAUUUAUCUGUUUCGACUCCAUUUCCUGUAAAGCAGAGGCAAGAGUCCAAAAUUUCCCAUCUGGAUGUUGUUGGUCGACCAGUAAUUGUGCUGGAAAAGGCUGACGUCGUGCCAGAGCAUAAUCAAUAUUUCCAGAUCCAUUACAGCUUCAACAAACUUUCAAUGCUUAGAGAGCCAUUUAUGUUGAUUUCUGGAUUUUUCUUUCUUUUUGUUGCUUGCAUUGUAUAUGUGCAUGUUGACUUGUCAAUCUCCAAGUCAUCUGCUUCUUAUUUGGCAAAACUGCAGUGGGAUGAGGUUCGAGCAACAAUUCAGCAGGUUGAGAGUAUCAUUAACCAAUGCCUAGCAACACAUGAGAAGAUUGAAGCAUCACUACGUGAUCUUUCUAGGAUAGGAGAUGUCCAAGCAUGUAAAACCACUCGCAAGACAGCUGAUGGUUUGUUGAAAGAGCAUUCAAAAGAAUUGAAGCCCUUGCUAGCAUUUCUGCAAUCAUCUCCUGCAGCUGCUAAUAUAUUGCCUAAGGUGGAGGAGUUGGUGGCUAAGGAGAGAGAAUUGCAAGAGAGGUGGAUGGCGAAACACUCAAUAAUAGUGGACUGCUAUGAGAAGAAGCUUGGGGGACGGGAAAUUGAGAACAGGGUUGCUCCACAGCAGCAAAAAGUUGUAGCCUUGAGGCAAGAGGUUGAAGAUCUUCUAGAGUACAUAGAUGAAAUAUAAUUGAAUGGAUAGAGGCGUAGUGCAACUGAGCUUCAGGGUUAGGAUUUUGGUUGGUCGUUUAUUCAAGUUAUAUUUGACGAGCUAACUGGAAUUUCGAUGGUUACGUUUUUUUAGACUAAACUUUUACAUGAUUAUGAUAAUUUGGAAUUUUGAACUUCUCCUGGGGAGCAAUUAGAG